rnacentral:rRNA from 1 species
UCUAGUAACGAUAGCGAAGAGGUCACACCCGUUCCCAUACCGAACACGGAAGUUAAGCUCUUCAGCGCCGAUGGUAGUUGGAGGUUUCCUCCUGUGAGAGUAGGACGUUGCUGGGC